CCACUAAGUGAUGAUCACAUCACCUCCUAUAUUCUCGUUGGUCUAGGCCUUGAAUAUGAUUCCAUCAUUACCUCUAUCUCAACUCGAGUAGAACCUAUGUCUCUUGAUGUUGUCUAUGGUCAUCUCCUUACACAUGAAC